rnacentral:rRNA from 1 species
AUUGAACGCUGGCGGAAUGCUUUACACAUGCAAGUCGAACGGCAGCACGGGGGCAACCCUGGUGGCGAGUGGCGAACGGGUGAGCAAUAUAUCGGAACGUGCCCAGUCGUGGGGGAUAACGUAGCGAAAGUUAAGCUAAUACCGCAUACGAUCUACGGAUGAAAGAGGGGGAUCGCAAGACCUCGCGCGAUUGGAGCGCCCGAUAGCAGAUUAGGAAGUUGGUGGGGUAAAGGCUCACCAAGCCAACGAUCUGUAGCUGGUCUGAGAGGACGACCAGCCACACUGGGACUGGGACACGGCCCAGACUCCUACGGGAGGCAGCAGUGGGGAAUUUUGGACAAUGGGCGCAAGCCUGAUCCAGCCAUUCCGCGUGCAGGACGAAGGCCUUCGGGUUGUAAACUGCUUUUGUACGGAACGAAAAAGCCUUGGCUAAUACCCAGGGUCCAUGACGGUACCGUAAGAAUAAGCACCGGCUAACUACGUGCCAGCCGCCGCCGUAA